UACGUAGGGACCAAGCGUUGUCCGGAAUUAUUGGGCGUAAAGAGCUCGUAGGCGGCUGUCCACGUCGGAUGUGAAAGCUCGGGGCUCAACCCUGAGAGGCCAUUCGAUACGGGACGGCUAGAGGUAGGUAGGGGAGAUUGGAAUUCCUGGUGUAGCGGUGAAAUGCGCAGAUAUCAGGAGGAACACCGGUGGCGAAGGCGGAUCUCUGGGCCUUACCUGACGCUGAGGAGCGAAAGCUGGGGGAGCGAACAGG
rnacentral:rRNA from 1 species